UGAGUGAAGAAUCACGACCCCUUAUAUGACAUGAUUUGCUUAAAGGUCUUAGUUAGUGGUGUGACAAAUACAUAAGAUUAGAGAAGAUUCAUGAUUGACUAGGACAACUAAGGAAGUUUUUGAUAUUUAUAAAGAAUUGUUUUUUAUUAAAAAAUUAUUUUAUAGAAAUGGAAAAUUUUUAAAAGCACAAUUUAAUUAAUUCAUUCCUUGUUGGUUUUACCCUCGCA
rnacentral:lncRNA from 1 species